rnacentral:rRNA from 1 species
UACGUAGGGCGCAAGCGUUAUCCGGAAUUAUUGGGCGUAAAGAGCUCGUAGGCGGUUUGUCGCGUCUGCUGUGAAAGACCGGGGCUCAACUUCGGUUCUGCAGUGGGUACGGGCAGACUAGAGUGAUGUAGGGGAGACUGGAAUUCCUGGUGUAGCGGUGAAAUGCGCAGUUAUCAGGAGGAACACCGAUGGCGAAGGCAGGUCUCUGGGCAUUAACUGACGCUGAGGAGCGAAAGCAUGGGGAGCGAACAGG